UAUAUGACGUCCAAUAAACACUUUAUACUCUUAGUUCUCCUAUUACUGCAGAAAGUCGCGAACCUGUAUGUCGGAAUUUUGAUCCCUAAAAAACGUCUUCAGUCUGCGAAGAAAAAAGGGCAUGGUGCUAUUGCAUUAUUCCUAAUAUAAAACGCGGACUAGGUCGCUUUAAGGAUAUAUAUUGCAAGGAUAACUCGAUGUGCUGUGCAACCAGAUUUAUUUAUUUUAACUCAUUAUUGCACAGUCUUGCGCAUAGCGAAACAUCACAACUGCUUUCCAUAUUAUACAGAAUGGUUAUAUUCAAACUCGCUUGUGUUCUUGCGUUACUCCUACUGUUUUUCCUAGAGGUAUCUGAAAGUAAAAAGAGAUAUAUUGCUUGCAGGCGUAUGAAGUCGGGACAGUUUGGAAAGUGCAUAAUGAAGGGAUCGCCAUGCCAAGGAAAGAUCUAUCCCGCUCGGGUUUGCAAUUUGGUUUCCCAUUGCUGUUGGCCUGCUCCUGAAAGCAAUUUUAUGUUUGUUACAGAUAUUGAACUCUGAGAACACGUCCGAUAUUAUCUUCUUCAGUAAAGUUGCCGUGGUCUUUCCGUUGCGCCUG